rnacentral:rRNA from 1 species
CCCUUAGAUGUCCGGGGCCGCACGCGCGCUACACUGAAGGAAUCAGCGUGGCUUUCUCCCUGACCCGAAAGGGUUGGGAAACCCGUUGAAUCUCCUUCGUGAGAGGGAUUGGGGCUUGAAAUUGUUCCCCAUGAACGAGGAAUUCCCAGUAAGCGCGAGUCAUAAGCUCGCGUUGAUUACGUCCCUGCCCUUUGUACACACCGCCCGUCGCUACUACCGAUUGAACGGUUUAGUGAGGGCCUCGGAUUGGUCUCGGCCCGCUCUUUACCGGGCGGCGCCGUUGGUCGAGAAGACGCUCGAACUUGAUCGUUUAGAGGAAGUAAAAGUCGUAACA